rnacentral:misc_RNA from 1 species
GAUGAAGAACGCAGCGAAAUGCGAUACGUAAUGUGAAUUGCAGAAUUCAGUGAAUCAUCGAGUCUUUGAACGCACAUUGCGCCCCCUGGUAUUCCGGGGGGCAUGCCUGUCCGAGCGUCAUUGCUGCCCUCAAGCACGGCUUGUGUGUUGGGCCUCCGUCCUCCUCCCGGGGGACGGGCCCGAAAGGCAGCGGCGGCACCGCGUCCGGUCCUCGAGCAUAUGGGGCUUCGUCACCCGCUCUUGUAGGCCCGGUCGGCGCUUGCCGACACAUCAAUCUUUUUUCCAGGUUGACCUCGGAUCAGGUAGGGAUACCCGCUGAACUUAAGCAUAUCAAUAAGCGGAGGA